GCCCCUGUGGCGGAACUGGCAGACGCGGCGGACUCAAAAUCCGCUGGGCCUUGAGCCCGUGCCGGUUCGACUCCGGCCAGGGGCACCA
rnacentral:tRNA from 1 species